rnacentral:rRNA from 1 species
UACAGAGGGUGCAAACGUUGCUCGGAAUUAUUGGGCGUAAAGCGCGUGUAGGCGGCUUGUUAAGUCGGUUGUGAAAACCCAUGGCUCAACCAUGGAAGGGCGUCCGAAACUGGCAGCGUGACGAGUCCCGACGAGGGAUGGCGGAAUUCCCGAGUGUGAGAGGUGAAAUUCGUAGGAUAUUGGGAGGAACACCGGUGGGCGAAGGCGGCCAUCUGGGAGG